rnacentral:rRNA from 1 species
UAGGGAAUCUUCGGCAAUGGGGGCAACCCUGAUCGAGCAACGCCGCGUGAGUGAAGAAGGUUUUCGGAUCGUAAAGCUCUGUUGUAAGAGAAGAACGUGUGUGAGAGUGGAAAGUUCACACAGUGACGGUAACUUACCAGAAAGGGACGGCUAACUACGUGCCAGCAGCCGCGGUAAUACGUAGGUCCCGAGCGUUGUCCGGAUUUAUUGGGCGUAAAGCGAGCGCAGGCGGUUUAAUAAGUCUGAAGUUAAAGGCAGUGGCUUAACCAUUGUUCGCUUUGGAAACUGUUGAACUUGAGUGAAGAAGGGGAGAGUGGAAUUCCAUGUGUAGCGGUGAAAUGCGUAGAUAUAUGGAGGAACACCGGUGGCGAGAGCGGCUCUCUGGUCUGUAACUGACGCUGAGGCUCGAAAGCGUGGGGAGCAAACAGG